rnacentral:rRNA from 1 species
UACGAAGGGGGCUAGCGUUGUUCGGAUUUACUGGGCGUAAAGCGCACGUAGGCGGAUUGGUCAGUUAGAGGUGAAAUCCCGAAGCUCAACUUCGGAACUGCCUUUAAUACUGCCAAUCUAGAGUCCGGAAGAGGUGAGUGGAACUCCUAGUGUAGAGGUGGAAUUCGUAGAUAUUAGGAAGAACACCAGUGGCGAAGGGCGGCUCACCUGGUCCGGUACUGACGCUGAGGUGCGAAAGCGUGGGGAGCAACAGGG